AUUGAACGCUGGCGGCAGGCCUAACACAUGCAAGUCGAGCGGAUGAAGGGAGCUUGCUCCUGGAUUCAGCGGCGGACGGGUGAGUAAUGCCUAGGAAUCUGCCUGGUAGUGGGGGAUAACGUCCGGAAACGGGCGCUAAUACCGCCUACGUCCUGAUGGUGAAAGUGGGGGAGCUUCGGACCUCACGCUAUCAGAUGAGCCUAGGUCGGAUUAGCUAGUUGGUGGGGUAAAGGCCUACCAAGGCGACGAUCCGUAACUGGUCUGAGAGGAUGAUCAGUCGCCCUGGAACUGAGACACGGUCCAGACUCCUACGGGAGGCAGCAGUGGGGAAUAUUGGACAAUGGGCGAAAGCCUGAUCCAGCCAUGCCGCGUGUGUGGAGAAGGUGUUCGGAUUGUAAAGCACUUUAAGUUGGGAGGAAGGGCAGUAAGUUAAUACCUUGCUGUUUUGACGUUACCAACAGAAUAAGCACCGGCUAACUUCGUG
rnacentral:rRNA from 1 species